rnacentral:rRNA from 1 species
UACAGAGGGGGCAAGCGUUAUUCGGAAUUACUGGGCGUAAAGGGCCAGUAGGCGGCCAACUAAGUCACACGUGAAAUCCCCAGGCUUAACCUGGGAACUGCGUGUGAUACUGGAUGGCUUGAAUUCGGGAGAGGGAUGCAGAAUUCCAGGUGUAGCGGUGAAAUGCGUAGAUAUCUGGAGGAAUACCGGUGGCGAAGGCGGCAUCCUGGACCGAGAUUGACGCUGAACGGCGAAAGCUAGGGGAGCAAACGGG